rnacentral:rRNA from 1 species
UGGGGAAUUUUGGACAAUGGGCGAAAGCCUGAUCCAGCAAUGCCGCGUGUGUGAAGAAGGCCUUCGGGUUGUAAAGCACUUUUGUCCGGAAAGAAAUCCUUGGCUCUAAUACAGUCGGGGGAUGACGGUACCGGAAGAAUAAGCACCGGCUAACUACGUGCCAGCAGCCGCGGUAAUACGUAGGGUGCAAGCGUUAAUCGGAAUUACUGGGCGUAAAGCGUGCGCAGGCGGUUUGCUAAGACCGAUGUGAAAUCCCCGGGCUCAACCUGGGAACUGCAUUGGUGACUGGCAGGCUAGAGUAUGGCAGAGGGGGGUAGAAUUCCACGUGUAGCAGUGAAAUGCGUAGAGAUGUGGAGGAAUACCGAUGGCGAAAGGCAGCCCCCUGGGCCAAUACUGACGCUCAUGCACGAAAGCGUGGGGGAGCAAACAGGAUUAGAUACCCUGGUAGUCCAGCGCCCUAAACGAUGUCAACUAGUUGUUGGGGACUUCAUUUCCUUAGUAACGUAGCUAACGCGUGAAGUUGACCGCCUGGGGAGUACGGUCGCAAGAUUAAAACUCAAAUGAAUUGACGGGGU